AUUCAGUCAACAAUUUCUAGCAGUACUCUUCGUAGCAUUCUAACUCCAAUGCCCUGAUUUUUCUCAUGUGACAGUGACUGGAGAAGUUCCUUCAACUCCACUCCCACAAGCCGCAAAGCAAGCAAAAAACCUUUGCAUCAACAUUCUGCAUUUAUAUUGCAAGUUCUGCACGUCAGCUUCUGCACCGGACAGCUUAUUCUUCCUGAGGCACUUAAAUUGUUACCUUUGUACACCCCUGGUAUAUCUCAUGUUGCUUCGAAAUUUGUACGUAUUGAUUUGACACUAUGCAUUUAUCUCUCUGGACUCUGACCUUUGCUGCAGUCACUCCUACCAAAUAUUUAAUCAUGUUGGCUCAUGCAGUUCGGCAGUUCCAAUUACCUACUCUUGUCAUUUUUAGACUGGACUUUGCUUGUGUUAAUGCAAUUCCAGUUUUAUGUCAAAUUCUCUUAGUGGAGGAACAAAAAUUCUUCUAUAAUUAUUAUCUUGUUUGUGCUUCAAUGAUGGCACCUUGUGUCAUCUAAAAGAACAAAAAGGAGGCCACUUCGCCCAUUAAUAACAGAUGAGACUACUUGUAGGUAAGUCAAUUGAAUCCUCAAGUUUUGUUAUUGAAGCUGCGUAUAUAGAAAGUGAACUUUGGUUUCCUAAAUUUUUAUAUAUUUGAAUUCCUAGAAUUUUUGUAUAAUUAGAGCCAUACUAAAUAGCAAAUUCUGUGACUGUUGGACGUGCAUUAUUUUUCUUUGACUAGGGUUUUCAUAUGGUUUCUAAGAAAUUAUUACUCCAAUUUUUUGCCUAUGUAAUUAUAAUUAGACUUGAUUUUAUGCACAGCAGAGAGUCGUGUCUUCUGGUAUAUUCCCCAUUUUGGGAUUCUGGUAUAUUCCCCAUUUUGGGAUUCUGAUGGAAGAAUUGAUGAUAGGUCAUUUUGGAUCAAUUAUGUUUCCAAUUUAUCUACUCCUUUGACAAUCCCAUUGGUAUACCUUAGGAUGAGAGCUAUUCACAACCUUGAUGAGAAGGUAUGAAUUUGUUCAUGUUGCUCGUUAUAGGUGUUCUUGACGUAUCCCUUGUUUUCUAUCUUAAUGCUGAAUUGUCAGGAGCUGGGUGAUUCCCUCAUUUCCCAAUGGUGAAGAUUGUUUAAUUUAUGUUGGUAGCUCUGUCAAUCCAGAGUAUUCUGACACAUAUUCAUGGUUGAACAUUUUUUAUUUUUCUUGACGUACUUGGCAUCUUUAAACUACUCAAAUGAUGUUGAUAUCAUUUGGGAAUAACAUGCAAACAUGUUCCUUUGCCUUACAAGUUAUCUGGGGAACUUCUCUGCCUAAAGAGUUUUUUUAGGAACUUAGAUGUUCCACAAUGGUAUUCCCACUUAAUCGUCACCGUAGUGCUUAGGGAAAAUGCCUUAAUUUCCAAAUUUUGCCUUUGCAGUAUGUACUGCAGCAAUAUGAUAAUUUAUUGUCAAAGAAGCUGAACCUUAUCAAUUAGAUAAGGCGUCAAAGAUGUUCCUACCUACGUUAUGAAAAUGUUGUUCUUUGAAAAUAACCAGGACUACUUCACUGAAAAAAGUAAUUGUUUUUCUACCAGUAAUUUUUUUUUUCCCUCGAACUGCAGCUUAAAAUUGUGCAGAAAAGGAGAUCCAUCAGGUUAGUGAAUGAAAACCUAUUUAAACUAUCCAAACCGAGGAAAAAUAUGAGGGAAAAAAGAAGAAGCAAAACGAAGCAUGGAGUUGACCUGAUGUCGGACAAAUUUUUGGAUUAUUAUUACAGUAUUUUUUAGUUUGUUGUGGUUUUCUGUAAUCCGAAACUUUUGCUGUUUCAGGGACAACCUUUUUCUCCUACAUGGUAGAGGACAAGACUCCAAGUGGGCUUUCAUACGUCGAGUUUCUAGUACAUAUCCAUCAACUUAUUCAAAGAAAAAUGCCUUGAAAAUUAUACAUUAGAUCAUUAUACAUUAGAUCGAUUUUGAUUACAAUUCUGACUACGUUAAGAGGAUGGCCACACAGGAUUUCAAGAUGGAAUAUUGCGGAUUUUUGCUUUAGUGUGUACUAUAGCCCUAUAGAGAUGCCUUGCAGUAUUAUGGUGGAGAGAGUUUGAUUGUUAAAUAGUUUUCAUAAUAUCCAUUGACAUUUUAAUGCUGUUAAGUGCAAGUAAAAUUAGAAUUUAUUUAUUUUUUCCAAA
rnacentral:lncRNA from 1 species